GUAUCCUUUCGACUUUGCAAAUCUUGGCGCCCUUGGUGUUUGAAUUAUAGUCUGGAGAAGCGUCCUCAGAGGCGGACUGGCGUAAGUCCUCUAGAAUGGGGUGCUAGAUAGGGUGAGAGCCCCGUCGUGCCUGGACCCUGUUGUACUAUGAGGCGCUGUCUAUGAGUUGGAUUGUUUGGAUAUGCAGCCUAAAUCAGAUGGUAAAUUUCGUCUAAGGCUAAAUACGGGCAAGAGACUGAUAGUGAACUAGCACCACAAAAGGAAGAUGAAAAGGAAUUUGAAGAGAAAGAAAAAAUGCUUGAAAUUAUUGGGAGGGAAGCGGAUAGGGGCCGACGAUGCACCCUAGUUGGAUAUGGAAGGCCAAAAGUCAGUUUGCUGAUUGGCUCUAGGUGCGAACUGAUGUGGAUUGCAAUAGUGCGUAAGCCCAAGCUUUCGAUACACCUAUGGAGACACUGUCAUAACGAUUGUGGACUGCAACACGUUUGUCAUGGCAUGCCUCGACACUUGUGUGCUCUAAAGCGUCACCCAACAGGCUUCCUAUUUGGCAUGUUUUAAAAUACAG
rnacentral:ncRNA from 1 species